rnacentral:tRNA from 92 species
AGGGGUAUAGCUCAGUUGGUAGAGCGGCGGUCUCCAAAACCGCAGGUCGUAGGUUCGAGCCCUGCUGCCCCUGCCA